UGUGGAUAAAAUGAGAGUACUCUAUGCUGGACUAAAAGUUUGGUUAUUUGAUUAUUCGAGUUUAUUUAGCGUUUUAUUUGUUUGUAACUUGGCAGAGGUAGCCCCUUCAUCAUGUAUGCUUAUGGGGCGUUGGCUGAAGUGCUUUGCUUGACUGCAAGCUGCCAGGCUGGGACAAUCUGCAGUGUACAGAACAUUGAACUAACAAUUGAAUGAAGGUCAAAUGUCUGAUGGGUGAAUAAGUGGGCCAACUAAAAGAUUCAAGCAGAUCAAUCCUGAUGAUGUUUGCUUUCCUCUGUGAUCAAGCUGUUUUAUGAACCAGCCUGGACUGAAAAUAAAAAAACCGAAGCCUUAACUUGUGGUGCCCAAUUUUCAGCUUAUCGCCAUUGAAAGCAAGGAUAGAUGCUGAGUCCACCAGCCUGGCCUUACUCUAUCACACAAACUUCAUCAUGGAGCACAAGUCACUAUAUGAGGUCAUCGAUAAGGAUGCCGAUUACAGAAGCCCUCUCCAAUUUGGAAACAAACUGAUAACAUCUCUGAUGCUCCAAGCGCAAAUGAAACAAGGACGUCUCUGAUCCCAGUAGAAGACAGGAUUUUUUUCGAAAGUUUCAACCAGAUUUAGCACAUUUCUUUCAAGCAUCUGGCGAGACAGGCCAGGAAGAAUUUGUCAAACGUAAGCAAAAGCAAACGUUAUUUCGUAAUUUUAUGUAGAGCUGUUUUGAAAUUUCCCCCCCGAAAAAAUACGGUUGCUUAAACACGCAUGCGCUAGUUAUUUUGAUGAUUGCAUCUCUAUAACAUCUGUUUGAAAAUAGUUAAAUU